rnacentral:lncRNA from 1 species
UCUCUUACUAAUUAACUUGAAUUAAUGCAUGACAUGGGCCCUUUUGGCAUUUAAUGCAUGCAACGUUACCUCUUUGGUUUGGCCCAACAAUUUAAAGUCGUAUUUGACGCAUUACUUUGGCAGUAUUGCCGGCUUUCGAGCUUUAACUUAAACUACUAAUUGCACUUGUGCACAUUAACCUCCUUCUGCUAACUUAACAAGUUGGGCCGGCCACUAACUAAUAUUCCAUUAAUUGCACUAUUUACCACAUAUAUACCUCUGAACGGCUUUAUUCAAGCCACUUCUAAAUUCGCCAAUGGCAAUAAUUUUGAAGUAUAACCCCCGGUAUUCACCUCUCGUCUCGUGUGUCAUCUCGCUUCUUGCCUCCAGUGCUGCCAGUGUACACUACCUGUUCUGCAUUGUACUUUGUUUAAUUUAAGGUUAGAAGUGGAAACUGCGUUACUGUCAUAUCUUGUGCCGUUGAAUUGGAAUUGCUGAAUAUAAUAGUUUAAAGUCAUUUCAAGUAUUCCUACAUUAUUUUAAUUUAGAUCUUUUGUCUCUAAUUUCAGUUUCGUGAACAUCAGCCUCUACAGUUCUUGACUGACUGCACUGAUGUCCAAGUUUCAUUCGUUUCGAGUUCAAUAAAAAUUAUUAGCUGUUA